CGCAGUACUCUGACAGUGCUAAGGUAGCGUGAUUCUAGUUUUCUUAAUUAGAAAUCUGUUCAAAGAAUGAUAUGUGGAAAAUCUAUUGUUUUCAUACUUAAACCAACUUAAAUUGUUAGUGAAAAUUCUAACUAGCUCUUAAAAGACGAGAAGACCCCAUAAAACUUAAUUUAAUAAUUUAUUUUCUAUUUCUUAAAAUUUAAAUGGGGACUUUAGAGUAUAAUAAUAACUUGUUGACCUAUAAAUUUAAUAACUGAGAAGCUACUUUGGGGAUAACAGGGUGAGAUAUUUAAAGAGUCCUUAUCGAUAAAUAUAAUUACUACCUCGAUGUUGGAUUAUCUUUUCAUAUAUAUUGUAGCAGUAUAUAUUGUUAGUCUGUUCGACUAUUAAAAAGUUACGUGAUCU
rnacentral:rRNA from 1 species